UCAACACAGCCUUUAUUUCUCUUCUUGCAAUUCUAGAAUUCUUGUUUGGUUUUAAAGCUAAUGUUGUCCUGUUUAGAACAUGCCUGGUUAAGAACCUUCCCCACCAACUCAUAUUGAUCAGGUGUUGGCUUUUUCAGAUUUCUUCUGUCAUUUAGAUAGCUUCUGGACAAUUCACUUAGUGCUUCUGGGAACUCUUGCCUUCAGGAAGAGCUGACUGAAAGCAUCAAAAAAAGAAGAUAUACAGUUCUAUGACUUUCUCCAUCAUCUAAAGAUCUUCCAGGAAAUUCCCUUCAUCCAGCCAGUUAUCCAGGAAGAAAUGUUAGGGAGAAAGAAAACCAAGGUUCUAUUCCUUAUAUUUCUAUAGAGGUUUAAAGAGAUUUGGUCCAGACUGGAAUGUGGGGCAAGAAAUGUCAAUGAAAGUCAUGCACAUAACUAAAUUCCUUUAAUAAUGAUUAGAAAAUAUUAUGCUGAUGAUUUCAGUCAGCUCCAUCACUCCAGGAGCCUUUCAAAAUAGAUUGCAACAUGAAAAGAUAAAGCCACCAGAUUGAAUCAGCAUUGUUGUGAUGUAAAAUGAUUAUUGAAAAGCUAUAGAAAGAAAAAAAAAAGCAAAGGAAAAAUAUAGAAUGAAGAGAAGAUGUGACCCUGAUUAGUAACAAAUUUUCAAGCUGAGACUAAAUGGGAUAAGUUUAAGUUUCAUCUUUCCUUUUGCUGGGGAGAGUUGUGACUUUACCAGAGCCAAUUGUGUAUAAUAUUCUGUUCAUUUUUAAGUUUUAUAUCUGUGUUGCAUUUAGGAAUUAAUGUAGCUAGAUAUUAAAUGCUGACUAGGUUUAAAAAUAAACAAAAUCAAAAUACACAUAUGUCUUUACUUCUCCAGAAAAGUUUCACUAGAAAUAUAUUCAAAUUCUCACAAAAUAUAUUUUUGAUCAUCAAAUAUAAUUUCUGGUAGAUAUAAAUAGCUAUAAUAACUAGUUCAGAGUUGCUGUAAGGAUCAAAUAAGAUAGCAUCAAAUCAGAUAAUAUGCAAAGCUCUUCAAAUAAUUAAAUAUUGUGUUAAUGCAAGCUAUUAUUAUAUAUUGCAUAAUCUAUUAUAUGUUAUUACACUUAUAAAGUAAUCCAGAAAUCGAUUUGGUGAGAAUUUAAAUGAUAAAGACCAUCAAAAAGGCUGCCUCUCCCCAAACUUCAUCUGUCCAGCUUUUACAUAUGUAAAAGUGUGAAGGGGUAGAUAGAGUACUCUCCAAGCCAUGAAGAAAAUAUGCCUUCAAGCUCUGCUUCUGACAUACCUUAGUUAUGGAAUCAUGGAAAGUACCUUCAGCUCUCAAGCCCCAGACAAUCUUACAAUGUUGGUAAAUCUCUUCCUCAAUAUUCUUCACAACAAAAUGGAGUGGACAAUACCCUGGCCUUCUAUAUAACCAAUAAGGAAUUUGGAAAGAACUAAAUAAAACAUGUCUAUAAAGGUCUCAGAACUUCUUCAAAAAGAAAUGUGAGUUUAAUACAAAAUGUUAUUUUGGGGAUUUAGAAGAAAUAAUGCUGGCACAUAAAAGGUAGUUCAGUGGAUAAAGAGCUGGCUUCUCUCCUGAAUUCCAGUUAAUGUCACCUUGGUUUUCAUGAUUGCUGAUAUAGAAGACUAUUCAGUUCGAAUUGCAUGGAACUACAAACUCAUUUCAUAUUGAAUUCUUAGUGAUCUUGACAUAGUAAUGCCUUCCCUUUAUUUGGGGAGGGAUUUUAAUACAAAGAUGCCAUACUCAGCAACUCAGCAACAAUCCUCUAAGCUUCCUGAUCUACUUGGAAAAACUAUUUAAUUAUACUGAAUUGACUGUAUAGAGUUGCAUGUCUUUAAUACUAUUGUGUUUUCAAAUUGUCUCGUCUCAGUUUCAAUUUAGAGGAAUCAAUCUACCUACCUACCUACAUACCUACCUAACUAUCUAUCUAUCUAUCAAUCUAUC